rnacentral:rRNA from 1 species
AUUGAACGCUGGCGGCAUGCCUUACACAUGCAAGUCGAACGGCAGCACGGGAGCAAUCCUGGUGGCGAGUGGCGAACGGGUGAGUAAAGUAUCGGAACGUGCCCAGUCGUGGGGGAUAACGUAGCGAAAGUUACGCUAAUACCGCAUACGAUCUAUGGAUGAAAGCGGGGGAUCGCAAGACCUCGCGCGAUUGGAGCGGCCGAUAUCAGAUUAGGUAGUUGGUGGGGUAAAGGCUCACCAAGCCGACGAUCUGUAGCUGGUCUGAGAGGACGACCAGCCACACUGGGACUGAGACGCGGCCCAGACUCCUACGGGAGGCAGCAGUGGGGAAUUUUGGACAAUGGGCGCAAGCCUGAUCCAGCCAUGCCGCGUGCAGGAUGAAGGCCUUCGGGUUGUAAACUGCCUUUGUACGGAACGAAAAGGUUUGACUUAAUACGUUGGACUCAUGACGGUACCGUAAGAAUAAGCACCGGCUAACUACGUGCCAGCCGCCGCAGUAA